rnacentral:lncRNA from 1 species
AGUGCUGGCCUGCGGGAGAGAGGGAUUCAGGAAAUGAGGUGCAGAUGCGGGCAGUUUACUUUAUCUGAGUUAGAAAUCUUGCAGUCAUUCAGAGCAGCUUCUUGCUCUCGCACAAUCUUGUCAUCAGUCUUGGGUUUCAAUUUCCUUUUACCAGUCUUACAUUUUUUUCAUUCUGAAGAUAUUCCCAUUGAUAAAGAAAUCAGAAGUGAAAUUGUUAAAAUUCCAUUUUCUUAGUCCUUUCUCAACUCAGCUGUCUCCAAUCUCCUUCUCCUGCAGCCACAGCAAUUUUUCUACUAUGCAAGUCUGAUCCUGUUCAGCUUUCUCUCCCCUUCAGAAUAAAAUCUAAACUUUUUAAUUUUUUUUUUGACCAAUGAGGCUUCCCUAAUUUUUUGCCCUCUUUAUCAUUUUGGCCUCACCUCUUGCCUCUUUGCUAUCCCUCCUUGCACCCUGGCCAUUCCAAGAUAUGCAAUUCGUGGUCAGAGCCGAGUUUCUCAGCAGCAGCACUAUUUUGGCUCAGAUAAUUUAUUUGUCGUGGAGGCUGUCUUGUGCGUUGUAGGAUGUCUAGGUGCAUUCCUGACCUGUACCAACUAGAUACUGGUAGCGCGUACCCAGUUGUGACAACCAAGAAUGCUUCCAGACUGCCAAAUAGCCCCUGGGGAUCAGAAUCGCCUUUGGUUAAACACUGGGAUGAGGCGUGCUGUGUCGUGUCCGCCCUCCGUUUCUAUUCUUUCAGCAUGGAGAGACCGUCUGCCUGUGACCAUCCUGGACAACGCCUGCUCGUCUCUUAGCAUCUCUGCUCAGUCCUGCUUCCUUGGUGAAGUCUUCCACAACUGCCAAGGUGGAGAGUUCGGUGAGCUGGCCCUUUAGAGCAGGGUCCAAUUGUAUUCUAAUUCUUUUGGUUUGCCUGUCUCCAUAUCAGACUGAGGUUUAGAGGGCCAGACUGUGUUUUAACAUUUUGUCCUCAGUACCUAACUAAUAAGUACCUGGCUGAAAAUAUUAACAAUAUCUGUGUGCAUCUUUAAAACUUUACAAGUUUGAGUGUUGGGUAUGAUUAAAGCAAUUUAGAAAAGACAUUUAAAGGCAAGUUAAUUUUUUUGUCUUAGCUGAUGUGAUGUCCAUCAUAUCCAGGUUUUAAUUUGUCAUUGCAUCUGAAAUAUGAUACUUGGUAUAUAUUUUGUGAAUAGUUGCCUGUAAUUAUUAAACUUACUUUUGAAUACAAUUUAUAGAUUGUCUUGCAUAUCUACACCCAAGCUUUUAAAACUAAACAAUUUAUGUAAAUCUUAUAAAGAUACUGUAUAAUACUAUGUAUGUUAGAUCCAUGUCUCUUUUCAAUUUGAGGAUUUUAUAUGGAAAGUCAUGGGAUACAUGUACUUUUGAAUAACCACCUUCCCAGAGCCAUACAGUUAUUUGACAAUAAUUUGGUAUUUCUGCCUUUUGUUAUUUAGGACCAACGAUGCUUAAAAAAGGUAUUUUUAGGGGCCAGCCCUGUGGCGCAGUGGUUAAGUUCACACGUUUCAGUUCAGUGGUCCAGGGUUUGCUGGUUCAGAUCCUGGGUGUGGACCUACACAAUGCUUGUCAAGCCAUGCUGUGGCAGGUGUCCCACAUGAAAUAGAGGAAGAUGGGCACAGAUGUUGGCUCAGGGCCAAUCUUCCUCAGCAAAAAGAGGAGGAUUGGCAGCAGAUGUUAGCUCAGGGCUAAUCUUCCUCAAAAAAAAGAAAGAAAAAAGGUAUUUUUAUUUAGGAAGUUUGUUAUCUAUUGGUGAUAAUUGUUAAUAAUACUUUGAACAUUUCUAUGUAGUGCUAUACUUUGCCAAUGCUGCCAUCUUCUGGACGCCAUUAAGCACUGUAACAAUCAGAGAAGCUGACAGUGCAUAGUGGUUUCCAAAAGUAAUGCGUAUUAGUGUUAAAAAAAGCUUUCAUUUUCUUUCUUUUUUCUUUUUUUAGUUUGAAAAAAGCCUGGAUAUAUAUAUUUUUUCGAUUUCCCUCAUAAAAUACUUGACUAUCUCCUUACUUUCCUAACCAUGUACUGCUGAAGUCAGAAUGGUAUAGGGUGUAAAAUGGAUAUGCUAAACGUCUUAAUUUUGCCCCUCUGGAUCUGUUAUCCACGCUUUCUACUCUGCUUUGUGUCCUGGGAGGCAGAGGCUGACCUAUAUGGACUAUAGCAACAAGAUUCCUUGACUUUCAACUUCUAAUUGGAUCUGGACAAUAAGAAGCAUUCAAAGGAAAUCAAAGGGGGAGAAGGGAGUAGAGCUGGGUCCCUCAUAUGAGAUCACAGGGCUCUGUCCCUUAACUGAAGGUCAUAUCUCCCAGCAAGGGGCCUUACCAAAAUAGGUCAGUCUGCCUUAGGGAAUUAGUAGUCACUUCCUCCUUGUAUUCUUCAGGGCUGUUCUGAAACCUAGACACUUCACAUCCCCUGUGGCUCCCUACAUUCUGCUCAUACCUUUGUAAAUGAUCCUUUCAUUAAAUAUUCCUUAAAUCACCCAGCUUGAGUAUAUUUCCUGUUGGGACACUGACCAAAACAGUGGGAAUAAUAAUAGCAGUUAACCCAGAGGUGUGUUAUAAGGGUUAAAUAAACUAAGACCUGGCUAGAGCUUAAAUAAUGGCUGAGAAAAGAGAUAAAGAUGAAGGCAGUGGGACAGAAAAUGAUAAUGAUGGAGGAAAAAGAUGCUGCAAUACUAAGAUAAUUGCUAUCCUUCAGUGGUUAGAAGCCCCCCAAAAUGGAAUACUUAUAUUGAAAUAUCUUUAUAGAAAAGAUUCAGAGAUAUACAAGAAAAAAGAUUUCCUGCUAUAAAGGUGUAGCUGAAUCGGCAGAUCAAAAGUUCACAAUGUACAAGAAAAACAGCUUUAGGAUGAUCAACAAUAAGACAUGAGAAAAAGAAAGAAUUCUUUAAGCAACCAGCUCCCCCUAAAAAAAAGUCCCCUAUGAGGAGGAAAAAUAAAAGAUUGGUUCAUACUAAUAUUUAAUUCCAGAAGACAUUAAGGUCUACAAAAUUCUAAGGGAAAGAUGACACAAGAUUAUAACCAAAUACAGCUUUCCUUAGUGUCAAGGAAUUCCUUGAUUAAAAGAUGUCUAUUUUUGGAAUAUUGUAUUUCACAAUAGGCAUUCCUAAGGGAGUCUUAAUUUUAUCUGUGGUCAUCAGUGUAUAUUGUACCAUGAUGGUAAAAGCUUAUCUAUUAAACAAAUUAUGAACAUGUUUUUAGAAAAUACCUGGUAAAAUGACACAAUGCUUGUAAUUUGUAAACUAAACCAUGUAUUUGAAGUCAUGCACCCCCUUUUUUCAAUCGUCAGAGACAUGUACCAUUUGUCAGGGACGUCAUCCUUGGUUGUGAUAAAAAGACUCAAAAGUUUACACGGUGUAUUUUUACCCUUUCUUGUUUAUGCUCAUAUAUCUCCAUUAUAUAAUAUGUUAAUAUGGGCUCAAAUAAAUAGGAUUCCAUACACAAAAUUAUAGCCAGCUGUUAUGGGCUGAAUUGUGCCCUCCCUCACUCAAAUUCAUGUGUUAAAGUCCUGGUCCCAGUACUUCAGAAUAUGACUGUGUUUGGUGAUGGGGUCUUUAUAGGGGUAAUUAAGUUAAAAUGAAGUUAUUAGGGUGCAUCCUAGUCCAAUAUGACUGUGUCCUUAUAAGAAGAGGGAAUUUGGACACUGAUCUGUACGGAGGGAAGAUGUGUGAAGAUAAAGGCCAUGAAGUAGGACUAGGUGUUCUGAAAAUCUGCCACCACCUGUUCAAGCAAAUAGUUUAUGCUCAGUACAUUUUUGAGACUGAUAUUAUAUAUACUGUGAUGGCCGUUGUGUCUGCUCAACACAAUAUUUGUGACGAGCAGCUCAGUUCCUUUGGUCAUGUGAGGCUGAUGAUUAGGCAUUUAAUCUUUACCAAGGCUCGGUAGAACUCCAGGACACAUUUCUUCAGAGAUGUUAGCUGCAGGAGGAAACAUGGCUCUUCCCCACUACUUUAGAUGGCUACACUGUAAUUCUCCUAUUGCCACUUUCCAGCGUUCGAUCUGAAUAAUACUCAAGCUGCUGCAAAAGCUGGGUAUCAUUGGCUCUGCUCAGCCAUAAGGCCUAAGUGGCAGAACAGCUUCCUUCAUUACAUCCAGGACCUGUUGCAGAGUUUUUUGUUGCUUGCGGGCCCCUUCAAACUGGCAGCACACUCAAAUAUGUAUUUAUCACCCUCAAAAUCAAGAGAGACCCAAAAAGUAUAUCCCUUUUCUCCUUGAGAAGUGCUUUGUUCAGCAACUUGUCCCUUAUUUUGGAGGAGCUGUCCUACAUGACCCAGACCACUCAAUCCCUAGAAACUUCUCUUAGGUGGCAGGACCGUGAUUUUAGUGGGGUUUAUCUCCCAUCCGAUGCCACCUACAUGUGUCACUCUGGUAAAUAGGAUGCUUAUUAUUUCUUGGGUAUCAGGUUGACUCAGCAUGAUGUCAUCCAUGUUGUAGACUGGCAAGAUGUUCUGUGGUAUUUCAAGAUAAUCGGAAUCUCUGUGAACCAGACCAGAGAUUGAUAUUUUCUGUAAAGAGCCAAAAUAGUGGAUAUUUUAGGCUUUGUGAGCCAUACGAUCUCUGUUGCAACUGUUCACCUCUGUGGUUGUAGCAUGAAAACAGCUGUAGGUGAUACAUAGAUACCACAUGAAUGUGAGUGUGUGUCAAUAACACUUUGUUAAUAAACGCUGAAAUUUGAAUUUCAUAUAAUUUUCAUGUGUCAUGAAAUAUUAUUCAUUUUUGGAUUUUUGUCAACCAUUUAAAAAUGUAAAAAUCAUUCUUAGCUUGUGGGCCAUACGAAAAUAAAUGGCGGGCUGGAUUUGGCCUAUAGGUUGCCACUUGCUGACAGCUGGAUUGAAUUAUGGCAGAGAGCAAGAAAAUUGCCAUAGACAACUGCGGCAAACCAUGAAAGCAUAUUGCUGACCCUACCAGGUGAAAGCAAACUGCUCGUGCUUACCUUUAUACUUUGUCAUACUGAAAUAAGCAAAGGAUGUGUCAAUAACUUCAUACUAGAUGGGAGGGGCUAUAUUAAUUCAUUCCAUGAAAGAAGCCAAAUCUGAAAUAGUAGCUGUGGUUGAAGUCACCACCUAAUUAAUUUUAUGAUAAUCCAUAGUCAUUCUCUAAGAUACUUCAGUCUUCUGAAUAUGCCAUAAAGGCAAGUUAAAUAGUAAUAUAAUAGGAGUCAUUAUCCUAGAACCUCUCAGAUUUUUGAUAGUAGCACAACUCUCUGACAUUCCCCCAGGAGUUUCAGAAUGUAAUUAAAAAACAGUUAGUUAGAAAUAUUUAUGUAUAGCAUAAUAAUAAUUAAAAAAUAUAUGUUUAUAUGUGUAUAAAAUAUAUACAAAUAUGUGUUACAAUGUUGAAUUGGUUAUUACCUGGUUGUGUGAUUAUGGGUAAUUUUUUUUUCUUAAAGAUUGGCACCUGGGCUAACAACUGUUACCAAUCUUCCUUUUUCUUUUUCAAAGAUUGGCACCUGGGCUAACAACUGUUGCCAAUCUUUUUUUUUUUUCCCCUGCUUUAUCUCCCCAAACCCCGCCUGUACACAGUUGUAUAUCUUAGUUGCACAUCCUUCUAGUUGUGGGAUGUGGGACACCACCUCAACGUGGCCUGAUGAGUGGUGCCAUGUCUGCACCCAGGAUCCGAACCCUGGGCCGCCGCAGCGGAGCGCAUGAACUUAACCACUCGGCCACGGAGCUAGCCCCUGGGUAAUUUUUUUACUUUUGUGCUUUUUAAUAUUUUCCAUUACUUAUAGUAAAAAUGUAUUCCCUUACAGUCAGAAAAGACUCUAAUUUAUUUUUGUAAGAAUCACUGUUAAAGUCAAUACUAAAUUUAUCUGGAUGAGGUAUAUGAAAUAAUCCUGAGAAUAGUUGAUACCAGCGCUAACCUCAGCAGAUGUAAAUAUUUGAGUCAUAAUCACUGUACCAAUUUCAAUUAGCUCAUUAUUGUUAUUUUAUGAUUUAAUUAAAUGUUUGAAGUAACAUACAUCCAGUCUUUAUUAUUAUGCAUAUAUUUUCAAAGAGAAUUCUAAAAGCUCUGGCUUCCAAGUGAAAGAGUAUUAAUGAAUGGAGCCUAUUUAUAAAUGCUUCUUAAACUAUGUUAAUGAUGUGUGAAAUAUGGGGCACUAAACUAACUAGGCAAUUCAGUGAUGCCGUCGUCAGCCACGGUGCUGCACGUGAAGACGGUUUGUCCCUGUCGUGCUGUGGUGAGGCAGAGGGUGUGUGAAUGCUCGGUCACCACUGCACACCUAGACUCCUAGUGCCCCUCUUAGCACUGCCACUAUUAAUUAGAGAACGAGGAAAAAAGAUUAUGACUGUUUGUUUGUCUUCUUGAUAUUUUCCUUGAGUUUUCUCUAUCUUCUGAGGCUUUAAAAUUCUAGGCUUGGAAAUCAUAGCUCAUUCCUGGGGUCCUAGUGAUUUUACUGCCACUCAGCAUAAUGAAGAGAAAGACUUUCAACAAGUGCUUUCUUCAAGAGGGCCUUUCUAGGCUUUUCUCACCUGGGUGUGUUGACUGGUGCUCAUAGUGAGGAUGAAAGCAAGGUAUUGUCGGAGAAGGUAAGUUCAGGGAAAGGCUUUGACCUCCUGAAAAUGAGAGGGUCUUAGACACUUAGACAAGUUAUCUGAUGUGAGAAAACCCUUCCAUAGCCCUUAUGUUUGGGGGAGAAAGUGUGUAGAAACAGCAAGGGAGCACUCGGCUGGCAGUUUCAGUUUUUCAAUGUUCAGAAGGUGUGAUGAGUUAUAUGCUCUCUAGGGCCUUGGAGCGCCUCUUCCUCUCUGGCGCCCUGGCUUACGUCUCUCUAACACUAAGCACGCUGGGUUCUAAUUACUGACAUCCUGGGUGGCACUUGUGCCUCGCCCUGCCUGCCUGCUCACCAAACUGUGAGCUGCUUGAGGUCAGGACCAUGUCAUAUUCUACUUUGUAUCCCCAGCAUCCAGUAACUGGCAUGCGCAGGGCACGUGAAAACACAACCUGCAUGAAUGAACUAUUGGGAAAGACUGGUCUGCGGGGACUCUAGCUGUAGGCUCAUCUUCCUCAGUAGUGGGUGUAAGGGGGAUAAGAGGAAGACAGGAAGCAAAUAUGUUUUGAGCUCCUACAUUUAGCCAUUGCAUAUUUUUACUUAAUGCCUUUAAGAUGUGACAUAGGUAUAAUUAUGGCAAUUUUACAGCACGUAGAGUGUGUAAUUUGCCUCAACAAGUGACCAACUCUGAAUAUGAACCCCAGGUUUCUCUCAACUUUAUAACCCAGGUUUCUUUCACUCUAAUAUGCCUUUAGUGACAGUAAUUGGUAGCAUGGUCUCUAUAGAAUAAGAUUAUUGCUACAGACUUAGGAAAAUAGACCCUAGGAGUAUUUGGAGUGGAAGGAGCUUUUUUGAGAUCCUAGCUGUGCAAAGCUUACUUCAGCAGAGUCCUUAUUUCUAGUAUUCCUGCAAACGGCUUCUGAAAGAGGGUUGGUAUAGGGGAGGGAGCGGGUGGCAGGAUAUGUGUAUUGUACCAUUAAGGCCUGGAAAAAUUUGUUCCUUUCAUCUUUCCCCAGUAUGCCUCCUCCUCCAUGAUUCCCCCCUGAUUCCACCUUUCCAUUCUUGUAGUACUCAGUUUGUACCACUCACAAAGCAUUGUCAUACUGCCUUCUAUUGUAAAUGUUUAUGUAUCUGACUUGACUCAAUGUUUAUGUAUCUGACUUGACUCUGGUUCUGUAUUUUCGGUACUUUUGUCUCUGGUUCUAACACAGUGUAGCAAGUAGAUGGUCAAUAAAUGCUUGCCUUUCUCUUUCAAAUUUAUGCUGAAAUCUUUUUAAACUAUUAAGGUAUUUCCCUUUCCUCCAAAUAGAGAGGAACUGCAUGAAGGCGAUCUCGAAGGAUCCACUGAUAUUGUGUGGGAACACAGUGGCCGUGGUGAUGUGUUGCCUAGAUCCUGCUUCAGUGAAGGACUGGUUGUCCCAGCUGCUGGGAGUGGUGUCAGCGGACGGCUUCGGCUGGCACUGUCUUCAGGGAUGGCUUCAGCUGUAAAGAGCUGCCUCAGCCAAGGUCACGCCUGUCCCGGGGCAGCCGACCUCCAGUGACUGGUCGAGGUUGGGGUAUAAAGGCCUGGCCUUUUUAAUCCAAUGUGGGACAGCUCUGAUGGGCCAUUUUCACUUCCAUUCAAGAAACUGUGCUGGGAUUUUUAAUUUAAUUUUUCUGUCUUUUUAAAGUGGAUGCAAUUCAUUAAAAAUUUAUGAAUAAUUAUUACUGAGCCAUAAAGUAUUUCUGAUCCAUUACCUCACUUGAAUAGAAGUGGGUUAAGAAUCAUUUUCUUUAGGAAACCCCAUUUAGAUAAUGUUUCCUUUUUUUUCUGCCCCCUCCCUAUGUGAUGUCAAAAGUUUGUAUAUUACAAAAGUUUAUUGAUCAGGAUGCUAAGCACUUGACGCUUCUAUUUUUUAAAAAUUGGAUUCAUAUAAUAUGUACUGAGGGUACAUGAUAGAAUAGAAAGCAUGUGAGCAUUAGAGUCAGACUGAGAAUUAAUGCCCCAGCAAAUAUAUGUAAAACACUUAGUACACGGCGAAUACUUAGUGAUAGUUUAAUUUUCUUUUUUAUAUUGUGUGUUACUAAUUCUGCUGGCACCUUCACAAUGUUAUCUCAUCUCCUUGCAUCCAUUCUUCCCAGCAACAUCUCGUCGUCUCCCCAACCAUUAAUUCCAAACUAUAGUCAAAAUGAUCUUUAAAAAAUGAAAAUCUGAUUGGUCUCUUCUCUGCUUAAAAUCCUAAGACUUCUUAUUGCUCUUAAGAUAUAGACCAAAAUUCUUCCAUCGGCCUUUAAGAACCUGAAUGUUCUGGCCCUGUUCACCUCUCUGGGUUCAUCUCUUAUAAGCCUGCUUUCCUUCAUUCUCUCCACUACAGCCCCUUUCACCUUCUUCUAGUUCCUCAUGUGUUUGUCGUGUCUCUGCUGUUCCCACCGCCUGGAAUGUUCCAUUCCUGCCCAUCUCUUCCCCUUGGUUAGUUAGCUCUUUCUCAUCCUUUAGAUCUCAGCCCAGGAGAGUCUUCUCUGACCUGCCACCCCUCCCCUCAGUUUAAAUCAUUGGUAUAUACUCCUGUACGACUAUGUUCCCUCACUUCGGGGCACUUAUCUAGAUUUGUAACUCAGCAUCAGUGUCAUCAAUUAAUUGGUUUCUGUCUUUCCCACAGGACUGAGUUCCCUGAAAGCAGGAAGCUUGUUACUGAAUUCUUAUAGCCUAGUUCAGUGAUUAGAUCGUAGUAGGUAGCCAGUAAAUAUUACACGGUUUAAUCAGCAAAAAACAGAGCAAGGUGUGUGAAUGUGGAUGUAUAUUGUUUCUAUUAUUAUUAUUUUUUAAUAAAGGAGGAAACUGAAGCUCAUUUAAACCCAGUCAUACCACUUGUAGGUCCAGAGUACCUUACAAUUUUUAAAAAGCACAUUUGUUUUUAUGAAUAUUUAAGUACAUUUCCUUUUCUCUUUGUAUUAUCCUUGUAUUAAAACAUUCUGAUUGUUUUUGGGGCCGGCCGGUGGUGCAGCAGUUAAGUUGCUGCUCUCCACUUCGGAUGCCUGGCAUGGACCUAGCACUGCUGUCAAGCCAUGCUCUGGCAGGUGUCCCACAUAUAAAGUAGAGGGAGAUGGGCGCAGAUGUUAGCUCAGAGCCAAUCUUCCUCAAAAAAAAAAAGUGUAAAAAAAUAUAUAUUCUUAUUGUUUUCGAUCUGUCUCACUUUAUUCUCAAUUACUUGGAACUGAUAAGACUCUAAUAUUCCUCUAAAAUUCACUUAUGCCUUCUGCCUUGUGAAUGACAAAGCACUGCAAUGACCCUGAAAUAUAAUAUAAUAAUGAAAGUCUAGCCUGUUGAGUGUUGCCCUGGGAAUGUAAACUGAUCCCAAAUUGAUACUCAAGUCAAUUCAUCAAGCAUUUGAACUACACCAGAUAGUGCAUGCUAACAGUGUGAUUUAUGGCAGGAGCCUUGAUCCACGCUGAAUCAGUUUGACUUCUGGAGGGACCGGAGACUGAAUAAAGGCAGUCACGUGGGUGCUCUAUGCUGCUGUGACCAAUCUCUAAUAGAAACCAUGGACGCCAAGGCUGAGGUGAGCUUCCCUGGUUGGCAUUAUUCCACACUUGUCACACAUUGCUGCUGAGGGAAGCAAAUGUCUGUAAGUGCUGAUUAUAUUGUAAGUGAAUGUAAGUGAGGCCAUCUUUUAUGUGACUCUGUGUGACUACUCACUGCUCUGCACGUACUCUAAAAUAAUUCACAUGCUCUCCUGAUUUAUGGCCUCUGCUUACGUAUGUACUGCCCUAUAGCUUGAUCAAUUAAAAAUUUGUUCUACAAGUUUCUUUCCAGGAACAGGCUGACCACAGGCGGGAAAUACACCUACAAGGUAUCCAUCACAGCUGACGGAAGAAUGGAACAAUAAAAGACCCUGGAUUCUGUCAUGCCUGAAGGCUUACUUUUCCAAACCUCCUCCUUACUCCCUAUUUUCCCUAUAUAACUACCUCAAGAUUCUGUAAUUGUUGAAGAUGGGUUUUUUGAAACUUUAGUCACCCAUCUUCUGAUUUUGCCUGCUAAUCCAGUUAAAGCUUCCUUUCUUGAUCCCUCACUUGUGGUGAUUUAUUGGCUCAGAUCCCGAUGAGCAGAGCCCAUUGCUCAGUAACACAUAUGACUCCAAUGGGAAAGGAAAACUAAAAGCUUAUUCCUGGUCUCCCCUGGACUCCACCCUGUGGACUUUCUACCUUUGCUCAUUUUCAUCUGUAGCCUUUCACUAUAAUAAACGGUAACCAUGAGUAUAACAUCUUUUCUGCUUUAUAUGAGUCCUUAUAGAGAAUCAUUGAAUCUGAGGGUGGUCUUGAGGACCCCUGUCACAGCUGCUUAGAAAAGGAAUGGACUUUGAGAUUAUUUGCAUGGGUUUAAGACUGCUGUGUGGAUCUUUUUUUUGUUUUUUGAGGAAGAUUAGCCCUGAGCUAACAUCUGCUGCCAAUCCUCCUCUUUUUGCUGAGGAAGACUGGUCCUGAGCUAACAUCCGUGCCCAUCUUCCUCUACUUUAUAUGUGGGACACCUACCACAGCAUGGCUUGCCAAGCAGUGCCAUGUCUGCACCCGGGAUCUGAACCGGCAAACCUCGGCCGCGGAAGCAGAACGUGCGAACUUAACCACUGCGCCACUACAAUGCCCCAGGUGCUGUGUGGAUCUUGAUCAAGUUAGUCCAUCAAAUUGCCCCUCUAUUUCUGCAUAAUUAAAACUAGCGUAAUAACAUCUAUGUUACAGUAUUGGUGUGCGUAUUAAAUGAGAUAAUGUAAGAAAUGUGCCUGGCAUGUGUUUAGUUAAAGGUAGCUAUUAUUAUCACGGUGGGGUAAGGGGUGUAGGAACACAAAGAUUGUUAAGACAUAUUCUCCACUGGCUAGUACUUUAGUCGGGGGGAAAUCUUUGUCAUGAGGACUGUGGGAAAAUUAGGUUAUUUCCCACUUGGUCCUCUCUGUGUAGGUGGAUACCUGGUUGAGUCAGCCGCACAAACUAUUCCUCCUACUCAUAGGCACUGCUGUCCUGGGGUAGAGAUGGGACAGGCAGAGAAGGAAAGGAUCUUCUGCCUGGGUCUAAAGCUAUGUCUGAGAUUCAUGCACAUGCACUUAGCCUGUAUGUGCCUCUUUUAUCACGUCCAUACUAGGAAAUGGACCCUCAACAGGGUACAAUUGGUCUUUUGUAACUCUUUAAUAUUCAAGACAGCCCGCAAAGUUCCUUUUAACCUUAUUUUGCUUGAAUAACAACACUGGAGGGUCAGGGGACACCAUGAGAUUGGCCUGUGCUUCUCCUCCUUUCCAGUCUCUCCCCUCCCACGCACACACUGGGCCAAGCCAAGCCCUUCCUAGGAAGUGGCACGGAGUCGUCUGUUUCCUCAAACCCCUGAUGUUAGGACAAUAAUCUCCAAACAUCUGGGUCAAGCCAGGUUAUUCUUCACGUAAGGAUUUCAAUUAAAACUAGAACACAAAUGCAAUCUCAAAUUUACCAUAAGUUGUAUUCUCUAAAUCAGUUGUUUCAAACUGAGAAUUCAUUUUCAUGAAAACCAUGUCAUAUAAUAGUAAUAAAAAAACCUUUGUUUUGUUAAUUUUGUGUUUGACAAAUAGUCUUUCACUAUUGCUGCUACAGCUGAACUUGGCUUUUAUGUACAACACUGUGUCCCCUGAUGUCGCUCUAGGACUCCCUUUCAUCUCCUGCUUCAUCUUUGGGGACACAGUAAGGAGACACCGUCCAAUUCGAACUUGCUAGUGGGAGCUCUCAUGCCUGUAGCAGGGCAGGGGGUGGGUGUGGGGAGAGCUCCAGGGGAUUAUAAUAGAGGAGCAUAUAUCUGUUAGGAUGCUGUCGGAAUUCCUAAGUAAUAAGAAAUUUCGUUAACUCACAUAGCAAUAAAUCUCGGGAAGGGCUAUUCCAGUGGCUUAACUGUUUUAACAAGGACCAAGAUGCUCAGUUUUUAUGCUCUGCUGCUCCGAGUAUUGACUUCAUUUCCAAGCUGGUAGCAAGACAAAGGAAAAAUUUCCCAGAAUUCCCACAGCAAACUUCCCCUCAAGUCUCAAUGACCAGAAUUUGGUCAUGAGUCCAUGUCUAAACCAAGCAGUAGCAAAGAACAUGGAAUUACCAUAAUUUAUAAUCUGAUAGAUAAUGGCUGCUGGGGAGUCAAUCCCAAUGUCCAUUUUAGGCCAGCUGCUGGUGUAAGCGGUGAUAAUGUCCCAUCUGAGACUUUCUCCUGAGGCCUCAGGAUUGGCCCACUUGCUUCCUCUUCUGAUGGUUUUACAUCUUUUACUUGCUCAGUACUGCACAGAAAUGUACAGAACCAAAACCAAAAGUCUAAAAGCUUUUCCCUACUUACCUGAUCCUGAGGCACUUCGGGGAUUUUUAAUUUUAAUUUUUCACUAUUUUUAUUUUGUUUUGAGGCUACUAACAAUGAAAAACAAAUAGUUAGUUAACCCCUUCUCCCCCCGCCCCACCCAUUUUCUCUUGUAUUCUCACUUCCUUCUUUUUACUUAAGUUGAGUAGGGGAGUUUUAUGGUGAAGCUUUGGGUAAAGAAAGGGCUGUGGUGAGGCUCAUUUGCAUUUAGAGGAGAGUCAGACCCAGGCAUUCCCCUGGGCAUUUCAGAGCCAGGCAUCCUGUAUGACUGUGGGGGGUAUUGUGAUAAGGAACUGUAACGGGGACUUAGUUCACGGUAGAUGUGGGUCAGGAGCAAGGAGGAAAGUAUUGGUCAUGUAUGCCACCUCCCUACUCUUUCCUGUUGUUCCCAUUAGUUUCUGAAUAGCGAAGCCUGCUCUGGGGCCGUGUAAGGAGCAGAGCGGAGUUUCAGCCUCACUGAGGUGGAGGUAAAAGGAAUAGGCAGGGAAUUCUCAAGCAAAGGAAGCUGAAAGGAAGGAGUUCCUGGGACAGAAGUCAGAGGCUGCUGGAUGAGAAGCCAAACUUCUUUUCAACAGGCUCCACUGAGGUCACUGGGAAACUGAAAAGCAACUUGCUUCUUCUUCAGAAUGAAGACGUGUACUGACCCAGUUUAAAGCCACCUACCCUGAUUUUUCCAUUCGUAUCCAGAUUCAUAUCCAUGUCAGUUCCCCACAAAUCCACACCCAUGCUCCCAGCACAAAGCAAUGCGAUCGCAUAUAUUUGCAAAUUCACACCUGCAGUAGAGCUCCCCUUCCAUUCACACCCUAUUAACCACAUAAAGUGCACAUUUUAUGGCCACAGAUGCUUAGAAAAGACAAAAUCCUUUAGUCUGUCUGGAUUCAAAAGUAAUCUGAAAAAUUAAUCUUUAGCCAAUACCUGGAAACAAUGUGGGAAAGUCCUCGCAUGUACACGAAGUCGUGGAUUAUUGAAGUUUUCACCCAGAAAGAAAGAGAAAAAACUUCUAAAUCUAAUGAUGUGUGACCUCGGAUGGGAAACCUAAUUUUAUAUGUUAAUAUUUUCAGUGUAAACAUACUGCUAAUUGUUUUGUUUUGUUUUGUUUUUUUGAGGAAGAUUAGCCCUGAACUAACAUCUGCUGCCAAUCCUCCUCUUUUUUGCUGAGGAAGACUGGCUCUGAGCUAACAUCUGUGCCCAUCUUCCUCUACUUUAUAUGUGUGGUGCCUACCACAGCAUGGCCUGACAAGCAGUGCAUAGGUCUGCACCUGGGAUCCGAACCGGCAAACCCCAGGCCGCCGAAGUAUAACGUGCGAACUUAACCGCUGUUCCACCGGGCCAGCCCCCAUACUGCUAAUUGUUGAACAGCUGUCUCUUUAAAGGAGAGAAAAAGCUGGGUUUAUGCUAACUGUUCCCUAAAAUCAAGAGUCCGGUCUACAUACAACCAACGAGAAGAAGGAGUGUGGUUAAGUGGAAAGAGGGAACCUAACUCACCAUCAGAAGAACUGAGGGAGAAGACAACCACACCCUCACUUCUGGAGGUAGAUCGUCAUUAGUUUAAGCCAAUCAACAGAUGACAUUCCUCUGGCUACAAUUGGUCCAGGGGUAAGCAUGGUGACCUAAGUUUGCCCAAACAGAUUGAAGGGAGGGACUUAUAUUCCAUGCUUGGUGAGAAGUUAUCCUUUUCUAUUGCCAGACUUAAAAAGGAAGCCUAUACUCCCAAUUGCCCUUGGCAGUCAUCUUUCAACUACAAGGGGAACCAGCCAUAGGAUGAACCCUAUGCCAAGAGGAACAGACACCUGAGACCUUGAUUAUGUCGUUGAGCUCCACCUGGAGCCUACAUUAGGAGGACUUCCUGUUAUAUAGAGUGUUAUGGACUGAACUGUGUUCACUCCAAAUUUGUAGGUUGAAGUCCUGAUCCCUAGUACUUUAGAAUGUCACUGUAUUUGGAGAUAAUGAAGGUUAAAUGAAGUCCUAAGGGUGGGCCCUAAUCCAAUAUGACUUCUGUCCUUGUAAGAAGAAAGAGAGACACUAGGGAUACAUGAGCACAGAUGAAAGGCCACGUGAGGACGCAGCAAGAAGAUGACCAUCUGCAAGCCCAGGAGAGAGGCCUCAGGAGAAACCAGCCCUGCUGACACCUUGAUCUUGGACUUCCAGCCUCCAGAGCUGUGAGGAAUAAAUUUCUGUUGCUUUAGCCCUCCAGUUUGUGGUGUUUUGUUUCGUUAGCCCCAGCAGACUAAUACAUAAGGAGUUGAUUCUAAGAGUAAUCCCCGAUAAAGCUCCCGCAGGCAAAUCUCUGCCUCAGAAUUUGGUUCAUGGUGAAUUCAUCCCGCAACAACUGGUGCCUGAGUGUCUGAGAUAGCAGACUCUAAGAGGGGACUUUGGAAAUGGAUCACUCAUGGGCCAAGUAUCAAUGGGAGCCCCGUCCAUGUUGGUAGAAAUAGCAAAUAGUCCAUGGCAUGCUGUAGCAGGACAAUGUUUAAAACUUUCACCAAUGGUGAACUUGGAUCUUAUAUCAGCGGAAGGAAUGCACUGAUGGAUUCAAAGUAACACUCAUUUGAGAAUGACAGAGGAAAUAAUAAAUACAAGGACAAUGAAAUUGGUUGGUUAUUUCUGAGGGCCAUGGAAUCUCUGAAGAAAGAUAAUGAAAGGGUGAUUAGUUAUCAAUUAAAGGCUAAGUACGAAAGCCAGAGGGCCUCCUUGGUAGCAUAAAAGAGACUCAUCUUCUGCAGCUGUAGGUCCCCAAAAAGCUGAGGGUGACAAGAGUAGCAGAGCUCCAGAGAGAAUUAAAUUCUCAACCACAGCAAGUCUGCUCUGCUCAAGUCAGGGCUCUGACUGGGGAGGAGCAGGCUCCUGAGAUAGGGGAUGGAGACGUCUGGCUUGAUGCACUUGACAGUAUUAAAUCCUCAGAUUCCUCUCCAGACGUGGCUCACUCUGUUAAAGGCUAAUUCUCUCCCUUCAGGGAAGUAGACAGUUCUCUCCCUAAAUAAGCAAGUAGACAAUGACUGUUGAUGUCACCCAGGCUCUGUCAUCAGUCACCCCAGUGCUGGGUACUGCGUACAGGAACCGGGUAGACAUGGUAGCAAGGACAGAGCCCACGCCCUGGUCCUACAGAAUGGGUUGCCACAUACCAGGACUGAUCCAGCUGUUGUUGCUGCCGAAUGCUGCUGAGACCAACCCUAGGCCCCUGAUAUGCCACUUGGUGGCAAGUUAACUACAUUGGAUCUAUUUCAGCAAUUCAUCUCGACUGGAACUGACACACAUUCUGGGUACCAUUCGUGUCUAUAGGACCUCAUCCAGCAUCAUUAUCUGAGAGCAUACAAAGUGUUUCAUUGCUGACAUGGGAUCCUGGGUGACAUCUCAUUGGACUAGGGGACCCAUGUUACAGCAUAGGAGAUAUAGCAGUUCAUACAUGAUCUUAAGAUCCGCUAGCCCUAUCACAUACUAUUCCACAGAGAGGCUGCUGGUUUGAUAAAGUGGUGGAACAGCUUUGAUUAAAAACAGAUGUAAUAAAACCCACUGAGGUGCCAGCUUGGAGAGAACUCAGAGAGGAUGUGGGCACCAUUCUCCAGGAUCAGUAUAUAUCUUUUUUUUUUUUGAGGAAGAUUAGCCCUGAGCUAACUACUGCCAGUCCUCCUCUCUUUUGCUGAGGAAGCCUGGCCCUGAGCUAACAUCCGUGCCCAUCUUCCUCUACUUUAUAUGUGGGACCCCUACCACAGCAUGGCGUGCUAAGCCGUGCCGUGUCCGUACCCGGAAUCCGAACCGACGAACCCGGGGCUGCCGAGAAGCGGAACGUGUGAACUUAACUGCUGCGCCACCAGCCAGGCCCCUCAGUAUAUAUCUUAAAUCAACUAGCAUUGUAUAAUGUUGAGUCUCCAGUAAGCAGAUGUGAUAGAGUCAUUUACAGCUGGACUGGAAAGACUGUCUCUUUGUCUCUGGAGGUGUCUGGUUUUCGACUCUUAGCCAAGAUAAGAGCAGUGGGAUUUAUGAUGUGCUGUCAAAGGCCUGAAACUCCCAAGGCCAAUUUCUUUACUGACAGUCUUCAACUGGCCUAACCAGCUUGACAAGCCUGGCCAAGAGUGCAUGAAAACUCCAUUGGGAACUUCUGCAUUUAGACUUCCCAAAGCUAAGCUUCCUUGCACAGAUAUUUGGUGGUUUGACCCAGAUUCAGAGUGCAAUUGUGUUCGAAUAAGGACCCUGGGAAGUUAUAUAUGCAAUAUCUCUGAGACCUCCAAUGUAUGCUCAAGCUUGCCAUCUCUUACUGCAAUGUAUUAUUUGCCUUUAAAUAAAAGCCGUAAGUGAGUCUGCUUAGUCCUUUCAAAUCUCUGAACUUGGGAAAUCUUUGCAGUAAAUAUAUGGGUCUGGGAACCAAUGGAUGAGUGCAGGAUUGGCUCCACUAACCAUCACUCCCCAGUAACCCACUGGGGAAGCUGUGUUCACUGUCUCUGAAACUCUGCAGAUUUGAGAUCCUGCUUCUCAAAGAGGAAACACUAGGGGACACAGCAAGUGUUUCAUUAAACCUCAAGCUAUAGCUGUCACUCAGUUUCUUCAAACUCAUUGUGCCAAAAGACUUGCAGUCAAGGAAAGGAUUCACCAUCCUGGGAGAAGUAAUUAACUCUCAUCAUCAGGAAAGAAUAUGUUUGGCACCCAUGUGAUCUACUUGGCUUCUUGAUACUCCCUUGCCCAAUUUUUUUUUUUUUGAGGAAGAUUAGCCCUGAGCUAACAUCUGCUGCCAAUCCUCCUCUUUUGGCUGAGGAAGACUGGCCCUGAGCUAACAUCUGUGACCAUCUUCCUCUACUUUAUAUGUGGAACACCUGCCACAACAUGGCUUGCCAAGCAGUGCUAUGUCCGCACCCUGGAUCGGAACCACCAAAGCGGAACGUGUACACUUAACUGCUGUGCCACUGGGCCGGCCCCCCAGUUUUGACUGUGAAUGAACAAGUAAAAUAAGCACAUCUGGAGAAGGGGAUGAUGACCAGGGUCUUAGACCCCACAGGAAUGAGGUUCUGGGUCACCCCACCUAGGUAAACCACGUAGGCCAGAAGAGGUAAAGGGAAUCUAGAAGUGGUAGUAGCGGACAAUGAUGAUGAGUGUUAGUUAUGGUCUUGAGCUAAGCUGCACGGUGGGUGCUGGAGUUCAUUUCACUAACCUUUCUCUCACAAUUCUUUCCCCAACUCCCUGCUUCCAACAGGUCCUUUAAAAUCCUAGAGGAGCUGCUCUUAGAACUUAUUUGAAGCGAGUGGAUCCGAGAAGCCCAGGGAUGGACUGUGGACCACCCAGACCCCCAAAGGCAGGACGGAAGCUCCGAGUCCCCCAGCUGCUGAGAAUGGUGUCAGCCAACAGUUCUCUGCCGAGCCUUUCUCCAGGACCCGGCCUUGGUUGAAGAGUGCCGCCUUGCCGGAGGCCUCCCCGGUCCCAGGUGUAGCUCAUACCCAAUGUCUGGUUGUUGUGGGGAUAUAAAAUCCUGAUCCUCUUGCCCAGUUUGGAGUAACUCUGGAGUGUCAUCCUGUCCCUAGAGUUCCCUUUAGGAUUAGCUGAGGCCUUUGUUGUUACUGUGUCACUGUUCAACUUUUCUCUCUGCUCAGUUUUACUUCUUUUCCACCCCCAGAGGUUUUGUCGUUGAGAGUGCUCCGCACUAAACAUUCUGCACUCAAUCUCUGUCACAGUUUGCUUUUCAGGGAACUCAGCCAUCUGAAGGCAUCUUUCCAAACCCGGCCUAGUCCCCACGGAGCCCGUAAUUGCCCUCUCACUUUUGAUGGAAGACUACAACGGUUCUCAAACAGUAUUUCAAGGAAGCUCUGGGUGGAGGUGCUUCACUGCAAGUGUUUAAUUUCAAUAGCAUUCCUGAAAGACCAUUUUAACCAUGAAAACCACAAAAACCAACAAUAAACACUAUUGCAACAAUAAAAACUAUUUUAAAACCGUGAACACAGAAAUGUAAAUGUGUUCUAUACUAAAUUUUACACAUCUUUGACAGUGUAUUAACUUGUGGUGCCAGCUCAUAUCAUUUCCGGGCAGGCCUCAGAAGA